ACACCCCUCAAGCCUGGCUUGGUAUUGGGCGUCGGGACCCUUCCCGCGCCCCGAUUUCGCCGGCUGGACGACUCCGAUCUCUCAAGCGUUGUACAAUCUCGCUGGCGAGACGGGCGGCCACGCCGUUAACCUUUAAUCAAAU
rnacentral:misc_RNA from 1 species